CACCCGGUGGCACACGGUGUGCAUCUGCUCCGCAUGGAUAGCAAUGUGUACGGCCAGCGGAAGGUCCCCGUUCGAUUCGGGGUCGGGUGA